rnacentral:rRNA from 1 species
UACAGAGGUCCCAAGCGUUGUUCGGAUUCACUGGGCGUAAAGGGUGCGAUAGGCGGUCGGGUAAGUCUGAUGUGAAAUCUCACAGCUUAACUGUGAAACUGCAUUGGAUACUAUCCGGCUCGAGGAAUGGAGGGGAGACUGGAAUACUGGUGUAGCAGUGAAAUGCGUAGAUAUCAAGUGGAACACCAGUGGCGAAGGCGAGUCUCUGGACAUUUCCUGACGCUGAGGCACGAAAGCCAGGGGAGCAAACGGG